rnacentral:rRNA from 1 species
UACAGAGGUCUCAAGCGUUGUUCGGAUUCAUUGGGCGUAAAGGGUGUGUAGGUGGCGCGCUAAGUCGGGUGUGAAAUUUCGGAGCUUAACUCCGAAACUGCAUUCGAUACUGGCGUGCUUGAGGACUGGAGAGGAGACUGGAAUUCAUGGUGUAGCAGUGAAAUGCGUAGAGAUCAUGAGGAAGACCAGUGGCGAAGGCGACUGCCUGGACCAGCACUGACACUGAGGCACGAAAUCGUGGGGAGCAAACAGG